rnacentral:ncRNA from 2 species
AUAAAUCGCUAGGGGCGCUAUUGCUGAGAUGACAUUUGUCAAUCCCUUUGAACCUGACUUGGUUAACACCAACGUAGGAAAGUGAGCUUAUAAAAAC